CAUCGAAUCCUAGCGAUACGAUUAGCUCCUCCCGUCCCCUCGCCUCCCCCGCCCUCCUCCCUCUGCCUCUCGCUCCGCGAGGCCAUCGCCCGGGCCACGUUGGACCUGCCGUCCUCCGCGCACGCGCUAGACUGGCUCGCCGACAUCGUCGCGCAGGGCAAGGAGGCGCUCUCUCAGGGCGGCGACUCCAACCCCAGCACCGCCUCUGGGGCCGACCUCCUGUACCCCGCUGACGGUGUCGCUGUAGGAGGCCCUGUGGGGGUGGCGGAUGUCUUCAGAGGAUGCCAAAAUAUUUGCAAGUUGUGGGUUGUGGUGUUGUCACUAAUGUCACCUCUACUUGAUUCUGUUCAUUAGUGUGCUAUGUUGCACGGAUACCGAUCAUAUUUUGGAUUUCAAAUCUCACUAUUUUCUACUUGCCUACUGGCAGGGUAGUACUUGUGCAGAACAUGAGAAAUCAAACAUUUAAAUUAACCUAGGCAGUCAGGCUUCCAAGUUGCUUAUCAUAUCAAUAUUUGUAGGUGCUAUAGCAAGGGUGAAGACAUGAAAGUCAGCACUUAAUAUUAAUAGUUUCAUCAUGAGAUGAACUUCUGUUAUACUGUAUUUUUAGCCUUUUUCAUAUAAUGCAGCAUAUAUUAUGCAAAAAAAGAAACAUUCAUUUGCUUGCAUAUAAAAUAGCACAUAAUACGAUGUAGUAUGGAGUGACGACAUCAAUUUUUCUUUCUUUUUUUUGAAAGAACCUCAGUCUCAUUUUUCCAGGUUGCAGCAAUACCAGUGAUGACUAUUUAAUAGUUCUACGUUAGCUAUUUGUUACAAAAGUGUCUAAUCACCAUGGUAUGCCUGCAUUGGUGCAGUUCAUGUAUAGCAUCAUCAAUAGAUCCAUUCAUGGAGGAGGCCAAGGUUAUCUAGGAAAUCAUGAGAUGCAUCAUUUGCUUCAACCAAUGCAUUGGCAUGGAUACGAAGUCUCUGCUGUUGCUUUUGUUGGCAUUGCUGCUUACUCAGUUCUGCACAACUGGUCCUUGGAGUGUUAGUGUGCCCAUUCAUUUGCUUGUACGCCUCUGCGUGUGGCAAGAAAACCCUAGUUCCUCUGUUGCUCUAUUUUCCUGGUCGCAAAACAGAGCAAAUUAUCCACAUGAAUCAAUAUUAAAUUAUCUAGGUCGUGUAGCUAUAAUACAGCACUGUAAUUGCAUAGGCAGGUGAAUGUUAUCAGCGAGGGUAAGCUUUAGACAGACACUGUAGUCCAGAAAUUGGUGCUCCAUGCACGGUAACUAUGGAAAAUCAGCAAGAAUAAGUUAAAACUAAGAAUUUUUUAUAACAGUCCUAACUCAUUUCUGUCCACUUUAUAUAACCCCAUCUUUCGAAUGCAACUAAUUUGUCUCACAAUAAAUAAAUUAGAAUUCUAUUUUUCUUUUCUGUCACCCAAUGUCAAGAUGGGGUUGUUGGAUGUCUUGCCUGGUACAUUUAUUUAGAAAUUACCAUUUUAUCUUUAAUUUGUUAAUAGUAAGUUAUCAGUCUUUGUAAACCAAAUUUGAAAAUUGCUUGUUGAGUGUCUGUAUGUGACAAUAGCCCCUCGAAGAUUAACUAUUGGAGACUUCACAUAUCAUUAUUUGCAUCACUAUAUAGCUGUUAACGUCUUUAGCUAUCUAAGCAGUAUGAUAGCAUUUUAUGGUCAGUCAGACCCUUCCUCAUCUAACAAGUCAACAUUAAGUAAUAUGUUUAUAGAAACUGGGCUAUUGUAUCUUGUUCGCACAUAUUUUGUUAGCAUGUUGUGACUGGAUAUAGCUUACACUUGAUGCUCUUUUUCAUUGUGUGCCUGAUGCAGUUGAUGUACUGUUGCACGCUACGAGUGCGACUCGCCACGAGGAUGUCGGUGUUUUUGUGAUAUUCUCAUUGUAUUAUAUUUGAUUUGUACCAGUUUAGUUCUGUAUUGUUUGUUCACAAAGAAUCUGUGAGAUAUUGAGGUCGAUGAUAAUAUAUGUGUUAUUCACUUUUAUGUAAUCGUUGUGCACUAACAUUUUAUCGAAUAAUUUGUACGCUGAUGCAACACACGGGCAUUGUACUAGUAACCUGUGUGUGUUGGUUGUUUGGGGAGUUUGUGUUGGUGGGGGUGUGCUUUUUGUUGACCGAUGAGAUCUCUUGGUGACAUGUGUGGAUGCUUCUUCUUGUUGUAUCGGCUCAGCUAUGGCCUAUGGGUGUUCUGCCUUUCGGGGAUGGAGGGAGAUAGGGAGAAAAAGGUUGUGGCAUGUGGGCGCACAAGAGAGAGGGCCGCCUAAAAUCUUUGCUUUUGGUGCAGGAUCAUUUGAUCUAUAGCAGGGUGGAAAGGGAAAGGAAAUUGGAGCUACGACCAUAUAUGCUUGCCACCAUGCCAAUGGUAGAGUUGGUAGACAGUAGGCUUCAUUUGGUACAGAAACUAAUGUUUAGUUUUUCAAUCUAAGGUUCAUAUGGCCAGGAUGGGGAGGAGCUGAUAAACCAAAGGUUCGUCAGGUUCAUGAACACUGCCUCCAUCUUCUUCAGAUUGCAAGCAACAAACUCCACUUGUGCUUGUGCAUGUUCCGACUCUGUUUCAGUGCCGCUCCACUUUCCCAGUGGACUCUUUCAAUUCGUAUCUGGUCGGGUUUGUUUCUGUGCACAUCAAGCACCCCGGAAGUGAUGUUCCCUACAUUGAUUGCAUCUUGUUCUAUUGUAACAGCCGGCCUCCUCUACGGCUCCGCCUCCACCUCUGAAUUGUUGCGCUUCUUCCAUCAGUGCUCGCGAGAAAAGGGUAAGUUAUGAGUGCGGCGGUUGUGGACUCCAGUCGAUCUAGAAGAUGUUUUGCAGCGGUACCAAGUAGGGUAGAAGAUGUUUUGCAGCAGUACCAAGUAGGGAUGAAUCUGGAUGUUUAUUCGGAUAUUAAAUUUUCGGUUUUCUUUCUUCGAUUACGAAUAUAUCUCGAAUAUUAAAUUUUUGGUUUUUUUUCUUCGAUUAUGAAUAAAUAAGAUAUAAAAUAUGCUAUGUAAAUCUAUAUUCUUACUUUUAGUAUUGAGAUUGUUAAGAUUCGUAAAAUGUAAAUCUCAAAUUCGUCCUUAUCUUCUCAAAUGAAGAUAUAAAAUUCAAAUAGGGAUACAAAUUUGAAUGUUUUUUACAUUUCUCUAUCUCUACUAUAUAUAAAGCAACAGUUUCAACGGUCAUCACAUGUCACCCUUCCCGCUUAAUACAAAAACAAAGUAAAAUUGUGCGCAAACGGAUGUUUGAACCCUGGUUGUUAGCUCCACAUUCACAUUUACCUAACCAAUAAAAUACACAUAUUUUUGUGUCUUAUUAAAACAAAGUCUACCUAUAUAAUAUAUAGAAACCGUGGCAAUGCACGGACAACUGGCUAGUUUCAUUGCAUGGAGCAAAUGGUGCCAAAAAAAAUUGUACAAAAUUUUAUUCUUGUUUUAAAUAAUGUGCUUAACAACAUAACUACAUAAUUAUUUUAAAAUGUUAAAUUUGUCAUAUAAUUCGGAUAUUCAACGAUCCAUCCCUAGUACAGGGGCUCUAAAUUUAGCACCCAAAUGAGUGUAUCUCUAUCAUUAAUAGACUACUAAUGACAUCAAUAAUUGGCUAAUCUAUCAUUAACCAGAUAACCAUUUCAUUUUGCAUUCAAUGCCAUGUCGUGCAAAAGGUUGACACGUUUGUUGCCGAACAACAAUCAUCUAGGAGAUGGCAGAAAGCAUUUAGAAUUCAACAAUAGAAGGGCAUAAUAUAAGUCGCAUGAAGCUCACCAAGACAAGCAUUUCAUAAAAGUUCAACCAGGCAAAGCCAUCAUAAGACACAAAGUACGCAACGCAGGUAGCCGAAACUCUCGCGGACUUUGCCGUAUUAUCCAGUUUUCCACUAACUUUCGUGUGAUUUCUUCGUUGCUCCUUUUCGUUACCAAGGCUCACAAGUUCUGCUGACUUUGCUUCAUUGCCAUCUGCUUUUCCACUAACCCUUGUGUGUGUUUUGCCUUGCUCCUUUUCUUUAUUGAGCAGCAAUGUUGUUUCAUCAAACCCUAAGGAGGAAUAGUGUUCAAGCUAGCAUAAAACCGGCGUCAGUGAGGAGUUCCAUGAGAAGAACAUAAAAAAGAGUUAACAAAUUUGAGCAAGCAUUACACUUCCCUUCGGAAUGUUACCUUGGUUCUACGCUUCUUAUGAUCCAUUAACUUCGUGUUGACUUGUUCUACUACAUUCUCCUUCAAAGAGCCCUUGUCAUCAGAUGCAUUCAAAAAACUGUGUUAGAAAGGAGUUCCACAAGAGGAAACGUAGCAGAGUUUCACACAUUUCAGAGUGUAAUGAAAUUUUCUUUGAAGCACGUACCUCCAUCUCCUGGUUCUUGCUUUUGUACAGGGUGUCGGCAUUUAGUUGUUUUUCCUUUGAACAGUCCUAUAUUAUUCAGUGAAGUCAGUAAGGAUAUCCGUGUAACAAACAUAAGAAAUUUUUUCUCUCUAAAAAAUGAACAUAAAAGAGAGAACACAUUCAAGCUAGACGCACAAUUUUCUUUGAAUUUUCUCUUUUACCAGUGUCAGCAAGGAUAUCCAUGAAAGAAACAUUAUCAGUUAACAUAUUUGAGAUAGCAGUGCAAUUCUCAUUGAGACAACAUUCGUCUUUCUUUGCCUCAUUCCUUUCCUCCAGGUGGUUUUCUUUUGGUAGUUCCUCCUCCUCAGAGGAGAUCUUGUCAUUGUCAUAAUUCAGUGCUCAUUAGUACAUACCAACUUAUUUGAGGUAGCAGCCGAUUUUAAGAGAAGAAUGCUCAUUGAUACGGGGUUCCGCAACCGAAAACAUAAAUGUGCCAACGUAUUUGAGCUAGCAGCCGAUUUUAAGAGAAACCUCUACCUUGGUAUUUUUGAUUUAUCUUGUUCCUCUGCAGCAGGUUGUCCUUAUUAACUAGUUCCUUAUCACAAGGAUUCUUGUCAUCAGAUCCAUCAAGUAUCAAUUUAGUAGCAGUGUAGCCCCUGGUUAUAGUGCAUAGCGAUGCAUUAGCUUCUCAGCAAAGAAAAUCGAUUUUGCAAAUAAAACUUGUAUAUAAUGAGAGAAAACAAUAAUAUAUGCGCAACAAAAGGAUUAUGCCGUUGUGCAGAUCAUACCCUGUAGACUCUUCCACAGGAGAACAUUCCUCACAUAUUCUGAACAUAGCUGCAAAGGUCCAUUUCCUGAUAAAGACACUCCUUGAAAAUGGACCAUUAUUUUCCCUACAUCUGUUCCUCAGCAGUCCACUCAUCAACUUGGCCUCCUUUGUGGUGGCCUAGAAAUUAGUUUGCAAAUAAUGCAAAGUUCAUAAAUACAAAACAUCAGAUUAAGUUGGUAACAAUCUGUGUUUUGGCACAGGCAAAGCUUGUACCAUCAUGGUGGCAGCACAUCCAGGUCCUUUGUAGGUUAUAAAUCUGAAGGCCACCUUUCGAAUCCUGGAGCAGAUGUUGACUUGGGAUAUCAUUCCAAUCCCACACAUCAGCAACUUGCACAACAGAUCAAGAGCUAUUUGCUAUUAUAGUACUCAUUUUAUUAGGCUUCUCUCUUCUAUUACUUUCAACUUUAUCUUCUCUUUAAUAGUACUCAUAAGUGAAUCUAUCCUUUAAAAUGGUACUCUGACCUAUUUUUAAUUGUUUUCAUUUUAUUUUUUUAUUUUCACCACCUAAAUUAACCAUACCGCUCUAUUGGUUCUAGCUGGAAUUGAACAAACUCAUGGAUAACUGCAAAUUGCUAAAUAUAUGUGUUGCUUGCUUGGAUGUUAUUGGCGGGCUGAGGCCUGAGAGUCACAAGCAACUGUUAGAGCGUUCUUGUCAAGGUAGAUAGCGUUCUUGUAUGUUAAUUAAAUUUGGCAUGGAGAUGGAAAAGGAACAACAGACAAGAGGAUCGCUUGGAGUUAGUCAGCCAGGUCAGGUGAAUGAUAACUACUGUGAUAUAUAACCUAACUGGUCAGUUUGCUAGUAAUAAAUAUGAUCACACUUGAUGUAUUUGGGGAUUACACUUAUAGCCUGUUUGGAUGUCGAUAUUGGAGCACAAAAUUGGGAAUUGAAAUCAACUUUCCUAAAUUCUGUUGUUUGGUUGCACACAGAAUUGAAAUUUGAAAUCAGAGACCCAAUUCCCUGGAAUUGGACUAUAACUAGAAAUUCCCUCUCCCAAUACAGAGCGUCACCCCUCUGUAUUGCCGGGAAUUAGACCGCACAAUUCCAAACUCCAAUUCAACGACAUCCAAACAAUAGAAUUGGAAUCACAUCUCAUUUCAAUAUCAUGGCUGAUUUGAUAUUGAACCCAAUUCAAUUCCAUACCCUCCAAUAUCGACAUCCAAACGAUGCAUUAUUGAUGCAUCUAGGGGCUACACCUGCGAUAGGUAGCUAGCUCAAGGCAUGCAUUCGUGAUGAAUAGAGACGCGGAGGGAGAGAGGAAAAGUAGUGAGCACGAUUAAUUUAAAUGGUGAUAAAUAAUAAAAAAUAAAAAUGAUUGAAAAGAUGUCAGAGUACUAUUUUAAAUGAUAGGUUUACUUAUGAAUACUAUUAGAAAAAAGUUAAAAUUGUAAGUAAUAAACCAAAGAAGCCAAAUAAAAUGAGUAAUAUAAUCUUCUUUGAGUAAAGUAUAUUUUCGGUCUUUAAAUUUAUCGGGCUGCGUUAUUCCGGUUCACAAACUUUUAAAGUGCCUCUUAAACUCCUAAUCGAUGUUUGGGUCUCAAUUAAAUCCAAACCAGUUCAAAACAUAUCCGAUAACAGUCUUUUCCUCCUCCUUCCUCGGCCUAUGUCACUUGCAUCCGUAGGUCUUCGAGCCGCCGCCGGUCUAUGUCCUUGCCACCGAUAGAUUCAGGCUCAGUUCAUCCCCCAACCAAACCAAGGAACCAACGAUAGAUGCAUGCACCUGUAGCUCCUCACUCAUGCUGGUAAAUUCUUCUUCUCCUUGUGCCGUACUACUACAGGUACAGGCAGCGGGGUGACCGAAGGUGUGCGGAGGACGAAGACGACGUGGCACACGGUUUGGGUUCUCGGGUCGACGAGCACCGCGACGAGGAGACAAAUCCCACGAUGUAGAUCUUGAGACACGAAAACGACCGGAAGAUGGACCUCCACGGUGAGGUGGACCUCGCCGUGGCGGUGAGAGGAGGCGUACGUGGACAAGGUGGUGCGGUGGCCAAUCCAACUCGGAAUGUUGGGGCUUUGAUAGAGGAGGAUUCAGCGGUGGUGGUGCGCGCGACAGUAGGGAGCGAGGAGGUCGGAGCAGGCGAUGGCGUGGAGCUUGUCACUCCAUCGGUGCCGGUGAGUUCUGCGGAGAGGAGCUCCUGACCUGGUCGCUGGACCCGUGGCGAAGCUGCCACUGUACACUCGCAGCACGUCGGCGUCGGUGGACCUGGGCUCGUCGUCGGCGCUGUCGUUAUGGAGCUGGCCGGUGCGAUACGAGGCGUUCGGCAUCAUAUGUGCCGCUCUGGAACGCCAUGGUGGGUCAUCGAAGAGCGUCUGCUAAACUGGCACACAUGUCCUCCUCCUUUUUUUUUUGUUGCCCUCCUUAGCGGUUCAACCAGGUCUCUUUCAGCCCGUUUGAUGUAACAAAGACUCAAACAGACAUAUAACUCUUAAUAGACAUACUUUAUUUGUUUAUAUACCAGUUUGACAAAGGCACACAGCGAGACAAGUUUAAGGACCGAAAAUAUACUUUACUCAAUCUUCUUUUAUUACUAGAUAAAUGCCCGUGCCUUGCUACGGAGUGAAAAUACUUAAAAAUAUUGAUAGAAAAGACAUAUAGAUAACUCUAUUUCAGAACAUAACUAUUGUAUUUGUGUAUGUUCACUAACUCAAUGCUCCCAAUUAGAAUAAACCGAAGUAGCACCAAAGGUGCAAAGAGCCAUCCAAUUUUGUCCUGUAGUGUUGCAUCUAGAAUAAGCCAAUUAAUAUGAACAUUGCGACAAUUACAACCGCAUCUGUCAUAAAUGGAAGAUAUUACACCAAUCAAUAUAGGUAAAGUAAGUUAUACUCCUCAUCAGAUCAUGAAAAAUAGUACACCAGAUUCAACAAUGAAAACAAUAUAACCAUACAGAGAAGGGAAAAACACAUGUAUCUCAAGUUUUGAUUUUGAACCUUAUUCCACUUGCUAUAGAAGAACUGCAUACAACAUAAACAAUUAUUCUGAAUACAUCAGAUUGCAGGAGUAAGGAUCCUCUCUCCAGGCAGUGAGGGGGUUGGCCGCCUCGGCGACUUCGAUGACGACGUUGGUGGUGCCAGGCAGCUCGAGCGGCCACGCGUCAACCAUGAUCUUGAUAGCGUCGAAGAUGUCGAGAUCGUGCAGCCGCACAGUAGAGACACUGGCGGCGCGGAGCAGCUCGGCGACCUCCGCCUCGAUGAGAUCAUCCUACGUCCUGGUGUUUCCCUUGAUGAUCACGUCGUGGACGCGGAUGCCCACGGGGUCCGAUGACAGCCGCCGUUGCAUGGACUACAUCCACUCUCGCUCUGUCGUCGAGAGAAAUGUUUUCACUGCUGCUGCAAUUAAUCAAGUAGUUUGCACUUAAUUCAAUGACAACGGUUUGAGCUUUAGUAAAGGUAGGAGAAGAAUGUUCUAUCAAAACAAUGAAGAGACAAAUCAACAUAUGCUCUAUAUAACUUGAAUAAAAAGGUAAAAUGAUCAGAUAUUCUUGGGGAAAUGCUGGUGACACAUGCAAAUAUCUAGAAACAAGUUAGAAGCAAACAAAUUAAUAACUUUAUAAGCAUAGGUCCAGUGGAAAUUUAGUGAAUAUUAUAGGGCAUUUGAAAAGAAAUAAAGGGACAAAUGUGAAAGAAAGGGACUCUGAGGCACAGAAAAAAUGAAUUAAGAAUGAAUUCGCUAGCACAUUAAUUGUUCAUGGAAAAGGUUAUAACAGUAGUCCAUGAACUAAAAUCAUAAUGACAUUGUGAACACUUAGGGAUGAGAAAAAUGUCGUCCACACAGUAAAUUAAGUGAGGACAAAUAAAUCGUGCAAGUAACGGGUUAAAAAUUAAUAAUACUGGUACCCGACAACAAAUACUUAUCAUAUCAUUAGUAAACAUAAUAAUGGCUACAGACAGACAUCGCAGAAGCUUCUUUAAGAAUGAAGUUAACGAUCUAGAAGGCUAAAGCCUAAAAGGGAGUAAGGGACCCAAACAGCAGCAUGCUCUGCAAUUCUCACACGCAGCAGCAUAAUAAUCUAAACUUAGAAGACCUACCAAUGCAGCAACUUUACAAUUGAUCAAUAACGCAGAGACAUGCUAGUCAUAACAAUUAGAGAAAAAAACAAAUGAUUUUGUAUUGUUGAAACCUUUUAACCCAGCCCAUUGUGCUGUUUAUAAAAAUAUAAGUAAAUUCCAGUUACGUUUAUAGAACAUGUAAAUUCCAGUUACGUUUACUAAUUUAGUUUUAGUAUAGAGGCAAAAUAAAUAUAAUGUGACACAUUGUAGAUAGAUACCAAGAAAAGCACCGAAAUGUAGCCAAAGCUAUAAAAUAUAAGUAGUAAAUCCUUAUGCUCACUUCAUCCUAAACGUAUCCACACAUAGUGUAUAUCUUAGUGUAUAGAAAAAAAAACUUUGUAUAGAAAAGCCAAAGUGUCUUCAUAAUUUAGAACAUAUGUAGUAAAUAGGUAUGAAGAAAAGCUAAAAAACGAUAUAUAAUUUGGAACAUAGGGACUAAUACAUAGUCACUGUUAGAAUGUCGAUGGUAAUUACUGGUUGAGAGCUGAACUGAUAGCACCAAACAUUCUGAAGAUUGUGAAGUUUAACAGAUAUUUAAAGUGGAAAUGUAUCAUUUAGAAAAUGAGGAAACUAAUAAAUGGACAAGGUAUAGAAGGGUAUUAUGUAUCUUGUAACUGAAAAGUUAUUCAGUGUUGGCUAGUUCCAAGUUGUAGAAUACCAUGCAUAGGAUUCUUGCCAUACUGAUAGUACAAAAUCAAGGACCCAUGUUGCCUAUGCCAGCCACAUGGUAGCUAGGUAGGUGUGCUGAAACUCACGCUGAACAGCACGGUUGCGUCUUGCAGCAUGCUAACGUCCCUCACGACGACGAUUACAUGUCGCACAAGCAGAAGGAGCAUCAACUGCAGCAGGCAGGCAGGCAGGCAGAGACAACGUUAGGUUCUACCGCCGCGCCCAGCACAAACAGGAAUUCGAGUCAGUGGAGGCGGAAGAGCUUCUUUGAACGUACAGUUAAAGCAAUGGUUCGACAGCACGUGGCGCCGCUAGAGUUUGCGGAUACACAGUCGUCGAACUCAGCCUGCAACAGCUGCUGCUCUGCGAUGGUGAUGGCUAGGAAAUGGGAGUCGUGAGGGUCGAUUCAUCCAACCCAGUUUUGCCUGUUUGCCGGAAAGAAGAAGAAGAAGAAAAAAAAGACCACCCAUUCAGGAUACCCACAUUGGUGGUCAUUAUCUUUUUUUUCAUCUAGAAACGACAGGUUUCCCGCAAAUUGAGCAAAGCAUGAAGAAAUGCAUUGGCAGGUACCUAAGAUCCAUGCCCGUUUCAUCUGAGCAACACUUGGGUGGAGGGAUGGCAUAAUUUGGGGAGUAUACCUGUAGAACAAUGAGGCAGACAUGAAAACUUCAAUAAGAGCAGCAAAAUACAAGAUACACGGCAGAGUUUUCCCGUUUCUCCUUAUUUCUUCUGUACCACUUCAGUUGCUUUGGAAUGGAUUGCUCAUAAACCUACCACAUCUAUCCGCAAGGUCAAACUGCGUGCCACCAUCUAGAAAUGGUACGGUACGUAGUAUAAAACAGAGAAAGAGAAAUGUGUCUUUUGGUAAUGUAGCAAAGUAACAGAGGCACCCACCUGGUUGCAGAUUUCACAUGUAAUGUUGCCCUUCUUAUUGCACCAUCUCUAUAUGCAUUUCCUGUGGCCAAACUGUAUACAACCAACGCCCGUAGGUGAACACACAAUUAGCAUUUUUCUUCAACAGAUACUCCAAAGUCACGUGUACAACAACAUCAAGGGGGACAUUUGUAUAACUGAAAAUGGGUGUAUAUGCUAGGAUAAGGAUUAUAGCGGUUCAAAAUUCAGAUAAUUGGAUGUAUCUGAAGAAAAGAAUAUAAUGUGUCCAAAAAACGGUUCCUCUAGACCUCAUUCAGUCGUAGAUGAAGAUGAAAACAAUCCCAUUUCUCAAUAGAACACUUAUGCUCCUACAGUGCCAAUCCUAGAGCUAUUAGAGAUGUCCAUAAUAAAGAACAACAGCAUAAUCACAUAAAAGAAGGAAACAGUUUCAUCGAGGUAACCAAAGGCAAAUUCCAAAAGCGCAGUGCCAGAAGGAAGGGUAAACAGAACUUCGGAAGCACAACAAUUUCGUCUUGAAAUCUGUCCAGCUCCCAAAUAAUCAUCAUUCUACUCGAAAUUCACCAACCACUACACAUUGACCCGCCUCGGCUCCUCAAGCAUCUAGGCAAAGAAAACUUCUGAUUGAGAUAGGGGAAGGAGGGGGGCAGAGGAUAGCGCUCACCUUGGUCCUGCUUGGGAUUCAUCAAGGGGUCGAGCUCGCCGAGCUUCUUGGCAAGCUUCAUGAAGGAGCUGCCCUCCAAGAUGUGCUCCAUGAUGGUAGCAGCCUCGAUCUGUCCCGAGUGGUGCUUGAGCUUGUGGGUCAGGUGGUCGGUGUACUCCGGCUUGCCGUUCAUGACCUCGCAGAACACGACGGACAGGACCUCGGCGAGGAUGGCAAGGAUGUUAGCCUCGAAGAGCACAGUGGAGGCGAGGCCAGAGCCCACGGUCGUGCCGUUCCCCAUCGCAAGACCCUAUUUGGGCUGCAGCUCGAAGAAGCCGCCCUGGAUUCCGGCAAUCUUGAAUGCCUCGGCGGCAUUGACCUUGCUGCCAUCUGGGGCGAGCGCAACAGAGUUCUCACGCCCAGUGACGAGGCCGGCAAUGUAGGAGAGCGGCACGAGGUCUCCGGACAGGUGACCGUGCCGCGCAGCGGCAGGCACGACGUGACGUUGGCGUUGAGCAGCUUGACGAUCGCCUCAGGCCCUCAAGGAUCUCGAAGCGGAUCCCGGAGUACCCCUGGAGGAGGGUGUUGAUGCGGACGAGCAUGGCCGCGCGCGUCGCCUCGACCGGGAGGACGUGGUCGUCCGUGCCGGUGCUGAAGGCGCCGACGUUGAGGAACCCGAUGAGCUCCCUCUGGAGAGCGCCGCCCUCCUUGGUCCUCCUGUGCGACGUGGCGCCGAAGCCGGUGGUGACGUCGUAGCUGUCGGUGCCGUUCAUCAUGCUGUUCAUGACCCAGUAGCUGCUUGCCUUGACCCGGCUACGGGCGGACUCGUCCAGCUCGACCCGGGCCUCGCCAGCGCCGGUGGCCACGGCGUCCACCUGUGCGAUGCUGAGGCUGGCGCCCUCGAUCUUCACCAAGGGUUGGCGGUACUCGGCCACCAUCCGGAGGACGCGGCGGAGGUGGACGGCGAAGUGUCGGGGUUGGGGGAGCCGAGGAGGACAGCGAGAGGAGGACACAUGCGAGGGCGAGGACGAGGGAGGGCAAGAGGCGCACCCACCUCGGCCGCUGCUGCCACCGGCGCUUGAACGACGGCCGUCGCUGGUCCAGGAACGGCCGCCACCUCAUCGGACCGCGCUCUCGUCGGCAGGGCCGGGAGGGAGGCGCCGCAGCACCCGGCGGUUAACUCGUCCCAGAUCUCGCCGCAGUUGAUUCCUUCCUCCCGUGCCUUCAGAUCUCAGACUCGGAGGAGGAGCAGCGCGGCCGGGCCGGCAGCGUGGUGUGCUCGUGCCCUUGGAUUUCGCGGCGGCGGGUGUGCGGCCGGGUUCGAUAGCGGAGGGAUUCGCGGCGGCAGUCAUGCGGUAGCGGCGGGUUUCGCGGGGCUGGCGCGGGCGGUUCGGUAGCGGCGGGGGCAGUCUACAGUACAUCCUUAAUAGUUAGUAGAGAAAAACCCGCUGGUGUCUGCGCGCACGGGACAAUUCCGGCCGACGUGCUCGCAGGCCACGCGACCACGUCGCUCGCCCCCUCUCAGCACUCCCCGCUCGGCCUCCACCUCCUCCUUCCCCCUCGCUCUUCCUAUCCUGCUGGUCCUCCUCUUUGCCGCCCAGCCCCGCGUCCCUAGAGAUGCUCCUCCGUGCCCUGAUCUUCCCGGACGACCUCCUCCCGCUCCUGCCCUGGUCCGUGGCGCAGUCGCUGCUCUGCCGCCUCGCGCUGCGGAGCCCCGCCGACCUGCUCCCGGCCUUUGUCGGGGCUGCGCACGCACCGAGGUCUGACGACGCCCACCCUGUCACUAAGUGGAAGGGCGCCUGCUUCUUCGAGAACAGGGCAUGGCUGGAGUUCCGCAACGGGACCGGCAGGGGGCUCGGAGGCGGCGUAGUCCAUGUAGAGGUAAGAGGGUGAUGGAGCUAUUGUGGGGCCACGCGAGGUGACCAGUUGAAAUUCGGUGAUUCUGAGCUUGCGUUUAGCUAAAUAAAAUCUAAAGCGCAUCGAAUUAUUUUAAGCAUACAGUUUUCUCGUUUAAAGAACCAGAAGUGCUCCAUCCCCACUCUCAUGGUACAUCUACUCCCAGCUGGGCGAAGGCUCUCGGAGUGGACGGCAGGUAUGGCUCCCCUCCCCUCCCCCACCCCGAACCAAGCGCCACCAAAAUUGCCCCAAAUCCAAAUCCACCAAAAACAACGCGAAAUCACGCGAUUCAAUCCACAAAUCCUGAAGCACCAUCUCUCGAUCUACUUUCCAAGGGGAUUCACUAUGGCAGUCUCCGGGAUGUGGAGGCCUUUCAGGCGGGGAAGGCUCUCAGCUCAUCCAUUCUGGUAAGUCCGCGCAAGAUCAAUCCGGAAUUGCAGGGGCAUGCCAGGAGGGUCCUUGAGAAUCUGGUCCAGGAUGUGCACCUUCACGGUCAUGGACCUCCCCUAUCGCAGCAGGGAGCGGCUGCCCCUAACCUUCGUCACAAAGACAGAGCCAACCUGACUGCGGAAAGAGACUUCAAUGCAAGCAGUAAUGGAGACGGAGUCGCAGAGCAAGCUUUAAGAGAAGAUCCACAUAAUACGAUUUUGCGGAAGAGAAUCCCAGCCUCUGAGAAGAUGAAAUGGACAGUAGACAACGACCCGCCAUGCCUCAAGGCCGUUCGGGUCCGGAGUGCGUUGAAGGCUCCUUCCGUGGGGUUCGGCGAGGUGAACCUCUUUGGCUCGGCAGGCAAUGGGCAGCACCGCACAAGUCAUCCCUCUGCAGGCAAGUUCUCAAUGUCCUCAAUGGAGGAGGAGGGUUGGGUUGUAGUCAAACCUCGAUUCUGGUGGCGCGGGAAGAUCAUCAACCAUGGGGGCAAUUUAUUCCACCAGGAAGAUGAGGUCAAGAGGGCCAGUUUCUUCAAAAAGAAAUUUCAGGGUAAAUGCUACAACUAUUUAUUAACAGAACACUAUGCUUUCCGUUGUUGGGCACCCCCUAGAUGCUGGUGCUGCCUACGAUCUGGUCAUAAGGCGGAGAGCUGUCCUGACAAAAUCAAUUUAGUGAAGUCCAAUUCAAAAAACAACCACCAUGAUUCGCUGAAGCAUUCACUCAGGCCAAUUCAUUGCCAGGGAGCCAACAACACCACCCAUACUGUACAACAGCACAGACCUAGCACCACUGCUCUUCAAAAGGGACAUGAACAACUCCAAAGACAACCACACAACCUCCUCCCCAGACACAACAGCAAGUCAUACCUUGAAGCCGCUCAAGGAAAUCAAGACAUGGCAGCCCGUUAUCCCGGUGACCCAAGAGCAAGACCGUCCAGAGCGUUUUGUGCGAUCUCAGUGACAAGCAACAUCCGACGCCGCAGAGACGAACUCAUCAACAAGGCUGUGGUUUGCUCAUAUGAUGGUAACAGCCAUGAAGUUGAUACCCUUUUUGCGGGACCCUUGUGAGAUUCCGAAGGAGGUUUAUCUCACGGUGACUGAACCAGACAGGGAGCUGCCACCAACCAACAUCCCCCUGCCACUUGCUGGAGCUCAGCAUGAUGAACCUACUGAUCCGAAGAAAGGCCAUGUGUACAACCUGCGUAAUCACAUUGAAGUAGUUGAAGACCUCUCAUUCAUCUGAGGGAGGGACACCAAGGGAGGACCUCCUAAUCGCAAGUCGCGCAGAGAGUUUGUAUGGAGCUAUGGGGCUCCAAUUGGAGAGAAGUGUGAUCGUGCUGAAGACUCCAGAGGCAGGGAGGUCAAUCGUCGGGACUGGAGAGAUGAUGUAUGAAGCGUCCCAAUCCUCUGGGACUCAAAUGUGAUUCAAAUACUAGUCCCAGGAGGCUAGUAUACACAUUUAUACAUCAGAUGGUUCCAGAUCUGCUUAAACGAGACAAACCUAUAAAGGUGGCGAUCAACUUUAAGAGCUGGUCCACAACUCGGGACAUAUCAUCAAAGUGGGGCUGAAGCAGCCCGAUAUACACAGCGAAGCAAAUCAGCGGUCUAACAGCCACAGGCAUGGUUGGGAAACAGGCGUACCUCUUACCCGAUCAGCGAUCUCCUUCUCUGAAAAACAACAAAUAAGCAAGAGUGAGUACUUACGUAUCCAGCAGCCCACCUUCACCCACGAAAUGGGGAAAUCAGAUAUAAUGCAUGGAGUAUGUGGAGCUCAGGAUAUUUUUGCAGAAAAAGCAAUUUUUGAUGCAGGGCUAUUUUGUAAAACAUUUUAUCAUUUUCAAAGCGCAUCCUCUUCCAAAGGAGCAGGAAGUUUUUCAAUAUAGAACAAAAUCCCCUGGACUAAACCAUCCAGGAAUCUCGGUAGUUUCCCACCGAUUUUCAUUUUCAAAAAUAGCUACUGGACUUCCCGUCCACCAUAGCUCACGGCUCAACCACCGGACCUUUUAAAACCACUUUUUCAAAAGCAUUUUAGAAAACAAAACACUAAUUGUCAAACCAAGCCAUAACUCAUCCAUAUCCGUGGACGCGGACUAUUCGAAUAGGUUUUUGAACUCUGCGCAGAGGUGUACACUUUACCCACUAGUCAGGCUCUGCGAUCUCAUGGCCAAUGAGACCCGAAUCCGAAACUCUCUCCUCCCUUGCACGACUUUACCUUAACGAUUAUACCGAAAGGAACAAGGCCACCUCCAUGCCCAAACCAGGACAAAACAUUCCCCCUCCUUGUCCUCCCGGUGCUCCCCAGCCACCAUAACCCUGGGGUGCAGACCGUGCAAGUUCGAAUCAAGCGACUGCCCAUACAGUCUCGAGUGGUUGUACUUGAUAAGAGUACAGGCAGUGAAGAAUGACAAACCGGUCCUUAUACGAGAGGGACAAUCCUUCAUGCUCACACCUAACCCGGCUGAGCCAACACCUUAAGGCCCUCCCCAAACCGAGGAGUCCCUUAUCAUCCCACUCAAAGGUGAUAAGGGUGAUAACCCUUCAUCAUACACAUUUUGAAAAAUAUUUUCUUUUGAAAAACUCACACCUUUUCUCAAAUCAUUUUGUAACAAAAAUGUCAAGGAGUAUAAAGAUGAUUUGCGGCAAAGUUCUAAGGUUGGGUGGCCAUAUUAACUUGUCUCUUAGCAGCAAAAUCAUAUAAUGCAUAAAAUAACAGGCUGAGGGUUGUGGUUGAAAGAACUCUUAUAGGAAGUUGACUGAGCACUCUCAUAAAACUGGUAGGGAGAUUUUUGGUGGUGUUCUAGGAAAAUGAGCCAUGAUCAUGAAGUGAAAAGCACGUGGUAACAAAAUCGAAUGAAAAGUACAGCCUAUCUCGAUUAACUGAUCGAAACCUAGCGCAUCAUGUUUUCGAGUCGCUAGGUGUUUAUUCUCUUGGAAGCAAGCCAACUCUGCCCACCCAAUUCUAUAUAUCUAUCUUUCUUCUUACUAGUUAGAUCGGAGCCGACACAAGGAAUUGGUCGACGAAGCCAACAAGCAAGGUCCACAGCGCAUUAGAAACAGGGCAAGCUAAUAAGUAGGUAGGGUGGGAGCAGCUAACUUGAAAACGGAGCUAACUAUGCAUUCCACGGAUGCAAUAGCCAGAAUGAACUGGGGCUGGCUUUUCUGUAACUAGUCUUUCCUGCUGCCCAACAUUCUACUAUUCGUUCCAACUCUUCGUUCCACGGAGCUAGGAAGAAGUCCUGCAAAAAGAAGAGAUGCACUUCUGGCUGCCUGAUAGAGUGAACGAUUUGGUACGUGGUAACGCUGUAAAGUCGAUAUCUCACCCAUGAAUAGAGGGCUGGCUAGCAUCUCACCUCAAAAAAGAUAAAGUUGUCUCACCAUAUCAUAUGCUCUCGAAAUCCAGUGUUAUGCUCUCUUCUUUGCUUACACCUGUUACGCACCUCUUGUGCAGUGACAACACUACCCGGGAGUUUAUCUUAGCUGUCUGGGACUUACUCUCCUAUCCACCACUGGUACUAGUCUGUUGGCCAACACUUUAGUAAUGAUCUUGGACAAUAAGGAAGGCUGAUUGGUCUAUACUUGAAUUCUGUUAAUGGAGUACUGUAGAAGAGUUCUCCCAACCCAAGUAUCUUCGGUUUCAGUUCUCUCUCUCUUUUUGACCUGCUACUCUGCUGUUGUUUUGGCCCUUCAAGGGAGUUUCUCUUCGGGCAAGGGUUGUUGAAUUAAGAAUUAAGAAUUAAGAAUUAAGAAUUAAGAAUUAAGAAUUAAGAAUUAAGUAAGUAGAGCAGUUAGGUUAUGAGCCUUGCGAGCUGUAUGGGGGAGAACAUAGCCUUUUGGCUUGGAAUAAUAAGUACAAAAAAGGAAGGACAAAAUCUCAAUAUGACAAUCUGAAUUACUUUAUGCAGUAACAUCAGGUUGUUCUGUCGUUCGACUUAUCGUUCAUCUCGCUUUGUUCGCUGUACUUCUCUAUCGAAAGAUAAGGGUUCAUCGAAGAAAGGGAAGGGAACUAUCCGCUCUUGUCCUUCAAUGAAAGCAAGCAGACCCGGAUCCGAUGAAAUCUUCACUCGAUAAUAGUAUAGAGUAGAGUGCUCCAUUGAUAGUGGUGGAUUGGACUUCUUGAAAUAUAUAUAUAUAUAUAUAUGUGAAAGAAAGAGAUGGUUUCUUGCUCGGUUAAAGGAAUAUCACUAUCCCUCGUCCUAGGGUUUUCCUGCUUGAUUCUCUUUUCAGUGAGGGAUGCCCACUUUAUUAACUCCUAACUCUCAAAAGGGCGAUGAUGAAUUUUCAAUCAAGGAAAUGUAUUCAAUCAAUUCAUUUGUUGAACAUAAGAGGGGUUACUAUCUUUUCAAUCAACCCUUCACUCGGAUAGGGAUAAGGCUCUCGGCUCUCGGGUGCCAUCUCGCACCUCUGAUUCGGAUAAAGGAGAAGGACCACGAUCAGAAAGAAAAGGGGAAUGCCAAACUGGAUACUCUGCUUAAAGGAAUAAGCCUCCCUUGGAUAGAUCGAAGAAAGAAGCACUGUGCGUUACCAGGUGUAGUGGAGAAAGCAAGGGCAAAGGUUUCAUCAGAAAGAGAUGCUCGAGCGAUACCAGGAUCACGAUACGAUUAAUCUGAUGGCGCAGCACGAACAGGAAAUAGAUAACCGCAAGGAAAGGGAACAGUUUAGUCCCUCCGAUCCGUCAAUCAACGAUAGGGUUACCCAGAAUUCUAAUUAAUAGGAAGGUUGGACUACCUCGAAUGGCAACAUGCUCGCUGAUUCCUACCACUCCUAUCUACAUAACUGCUCCAGAGAAGGGAAGGCAGAUGUCGAACCAGCGAUUGAGUGUACUAGUUCAUUUAAUGAUUGCAAAGCGGAGGCUAAGGACAUAACGAACAGUGCGCAAAGAAGAAAGCAUGGGCAUGGAUACGAGACCAGAAGGAAAGAACGAUCACCGUAAUGCGAUUAACCAGAGUAGCCGCCAGGGUGCAGUGCACCCUACGCUUUGAAUUCUUCUUGGCAGCUCAAGACCUUUCUUGUUCGUUCCUUGCUCCCAGCAAAAGAAGCAGCUUCUUAAGUGGAUUUAUCCGGGACUGAUACUCUUUUCCGAACUAAUAACCAAUGAUUUCCAUUUUGACCAAUGGAUACAGCUCAUGGUAAGACAACAUAUGGCUUCUUCCUUGAGGGAAUGUUCUAGCCGCCUCCUUCCGCCGUGCUUCCUCCGAUCAAACAGCUACCUAGGCUUCCUCGCAUACUCGGCUUUAUCUAGUUUAGGAUUGACUAUUCUCUGGUGGAUUAUCUGGUGUCAUAGUAGGAAUCACCCCUUUCUUCUCAGAUGGUCCAGUAUAUUGGUCAAGGCAGCUUGCUCCAAUCAUGCUUUGUUUAUUGAAUGAAGAGUUCACUCGUAGAAAUGUCCGUUCUUUCCUUUGAGCAUAUCCGUUUGAUUGCUCGUAGCGCUAACUAGCAUAGCAUCCGUUUUCUUGCUUGGUUUCUUUAGUAUCACAAGCCACGGAUUGAGCAACUAGCGCGGUCGGGUAGCUGCUUUCCUCUUUUCCAACCUCUUACCAACUCGGGAUGGCCUCCUCUCGGUCAAGGAUCCGACCUUCCCCUCGCUCCGGGGUUCUAUACUUUCGAUGCUUCUCUCGAUAGCUAUCCCCUGUUUAGUUUCUCGGCUUCCUAUCUCUUAGGAAAGACUAGCUGGAUCAGGUUAAGGGAAGGAAGUACGGGUCAAGUAAAGAAAUACAACUGUUAUCCACGAACAACCUUUUCUCAUAUGAAUACCGUGCGCCAGUAAGUAGUCCAUCAAAGCUAACCCGGGUUAACUACUCUCUAGGAAGCUUCCCCGUCCUAAUCUAAGGAAUGAAUGAGGGAAAGUCUUGUCUCUUCUUUUCCGACACCCACUUCUGGAUUGCCAAUUCUCAGAUUUCUCGGUUCCUUCUUUGGCUCGCCUUGACGGAUUACUUCGAUUACUACCGGACUUCCAGAUUAGCUGCUUUUUACGCUUCACGCCUUUCCCUGCUGGGGUGGUGUCUUUCGUAGUCAGAAGCCUUGUUUGGCCAUCAGGCAUUAUGUAGUUGGCACGGGAUGCGUACUCCUCUCCUCCUAAGAAGCAAGGCAAGGGAUUUUUCGCAAACUAGCGCGUUGUCGACGAUGAAAAGAAUGCGAACCGAAGACCCCUUCCUCUCGAAGUGCGGUGCGUGCCAUCGUAAGUGUGACCCUCCAUCUCAUAUUUAUUCAUUCAGCAGAAACAUAAAUCUACUCGAGGAAUCACUCCUUUCUUCUUCAUUAUAUAUAAUCUAAGGUGAUAAAGAGUAGGAUUUGGAAAUUCCUGAUCCCGCCAAAGCAAAGUCCGUCCCUCCUUCCUGACGAAUGCUUAUUUGCCAUCUAAUUUCCCAGAAGAGCAGAAGUAUAUCUGGGGAUCGUCCACAUUGAGGACUUGCCAUUUGCAUCUUUCAUCUCAAUGAAAUAGUAUUUUAUCACGUUGAGGAUUUCCCCGGUAGUUGUUUUGGUCUAAUCUUGAUUACUAAUCAUCUGGCUUAGCUCGACCUACCAAUUUAACUUAUCCUAGGGACUCGUUCGUUCACCGUGGACUAUACUCUACUAAACUCAGAGUCGAGGUCUCUUCUUCUGGAAUUGAUCCUUUUCUGAGUUCGCUUAUCAACUUAUCUUUCCUAUCGUCGUACUGGUUAAGGGUAGAAAUCCAAGGAUAAAGGAGAGGAAAAAGCGUUCAUUCUGCCCAAUGCCUUGAACCCGUUCGGUCUCCCUUAAUUGUGAUUGAAAUGACGAUGGCAACAGGUUUCGCUUCUGCAGCGGGCAUAUUAUAAGCAUCAGCCAUAAAAUCUAGAGAUCGCAAUGCGUUACCCACUUUUGGAUCCGUAAAACGGAGAACAUCAGUCCAUAGAGGGACUUUCCUGAAUUAGUGAUACGAAAAAGUAAACGAAUAAAUGUGGGAAAAGUUGGGGACAGAAAAAGUUCCGUAAUCGUCCUAUUUUUUCGUCCUUGUGGAAGCGAGAAAUGCGUAACGACUUGAUUUUUAGAUAGAGGAUAUUGGAAAGAAGUGCGUAGGUAGGCCUCAACGUGUUCAUUGAGUAGCUUGAGGAAGUUUGCCAUUGUGAGACGGUUAAGGCCACCCCUAAACUCCUGGACCAGUCUACCAGUGCUAAUACUUUUCCCCCACAUCUUUAAAGGAAUCCUAACUUUGAUGCCCCCACUAUCUGUAAAAGAGACAAGCAACCCUGUCCCACCAAGAAAAAUGAGAAGUUUCUCAGAGGUAAUCUCCUCCCAGCAGGUCUAACUUAUCGCAAUAAUUUUUGAGUCGCAUUAAAGAAAUUUGGAAUUCGUGGAAUGCCUAACAAGAUGGUGAUCCACAGUAAGAAGAUAGUAUGUAACUAGAGGGCGAGAGUUGUAAGCCAAUAGGGGGAAGUAGAAUGCUCAGGUGGGAGGAAUCCAAGCCUAAGCACCGGAUAACUCGUACAGAAGGAUAGAGGAAGAGAACCGGGUGGCUUGACACCUGGUGAUGUUAGAAAGAAGACAAGUGCUUAUGCUUAUAAGGAACCCCAAGGUUAGCUUAUAGCUCUUGAGUCUUAUCUUAUGUGGAAGCUCCAGAGAAAGGAAAAAUAGAGUUCCAACAAGGCUGGCCCAGUCCACACUUCUCAUCAUCACUCUGCCUCCUUCGGUAGGUAACUUUGACACCUAGGAAAGAGUUGAUGGCAUCUCAACGCAAGAAGGUAGAGAAGAAUCCCUAGCGCAGAUGUGCCGAGAGCGAGAAAGCCUGUCUUCCCCGUGAAGCAAGAAAAAACGGCUCCUAUUUAAUAAGUUGCCCCUAUUUUGUUAGUUCUUUCUAGCAAACUGAUGUAGGUAGGCUUCCGGAAGCAAGCUAGUUGGGAAUGGGUUUGAUAGCUGAAGAAUGGAACAUCACAUGGUUCAUAGUUGAGGAAAAGGCGAGACUUAACUGACCCUCGUUCUAUAUCUUGACAGGGCAGAUCGCAACAGAAAUGGCAGAUACUACGUUCUCCCGCCUUGAUAGAUAGUUCUGCUAGAAAGCUCAUUAGAAGUCGAAUCAAACAUUCAAACCUAAGGCCUUUGUUGUCCUGCUGAAAAAGCUUAGUAAGCCGGUCUUCGAGAAAAUCCAGCUCUCGAAUCGGACUAAAAGGAAAAGAUAUCCCUAGGUGGCAGAGUAGAGCUCACUUCCCCACUCUGUUCCUAAUCUAUGUCUUAAUAAAAGACUCCCGAUACCGGACAUUACCCAUUAGACUGAUUGGACCACUUAAGAGGACCCCUUUGGCUUGGCUAUUCUAGGCCUUCUUCUAUUCGUACCUCCUUCCUUUUCUUCCCCCGCCAUUCAAGCCAUCUCUCAGGCUUACAGUUUGAACUCCGAGUUCGCGGAUUGAUUUCUUGAGCAUACCCUGAACCCACAGCCGAAGAAUAUGAAUUGUUGAAGGUGGGUACAAGUAGUGUUUGUUUCACUAUAGUGAGUUGUGGUUGGUUGUUGACCAACAGAAAAUGGGAGAAAGAAAGAUUCACAAACGAGGCGAAUUCUCUAAAAACCAAUUGUUGCACUAAGAUACUUACGAUUAUGCGAGCUCACCUAAAGUCAGAUCGAGGGGCGACACUCGAUUUACUGUCGAGAAAAACAAUCUAGACUAGACUAAGAACUCCCUGGAAGGAUGAGAGCUCAAAAUCUCGAUCAACACUAUUUUAUAUCUUACUAAAUAUAUUUAUUUGUCAAGCUUUUAGACUUUGAAGGACUAACUUUCUUCUUAAGAAAGAAAGAGGAAGACUAUUGAUCUUAUAAUACGUCACCGGCCGGUGUACUUACUUCAACACAAGAAGCAUGGGCCUCUUCGAUAGAAGCACUCUCUUUUCUUAGCCCCGUCCCCACCUUUGUUUUCCGUAACACUAACUUUACCCUCAAGCCAAGUUAAGAUAGUGAGAGAGUGAAAAAGAUGGCACAACUUCAUCACCAAAGGAAGGAAGAGCGAUAUCCUAGUCAAGAAGAGAAGUUCUCGAGAUAUCUAUGGUGAACCGAUGUUGCUUAGGGCGGGUGACCAUCUUAUGAUUGAAGAUAAGCACCGAAAGCUUUCCUGGUGAAUGGAAGUGAGGCGUUCGGAACCUAUUCUAGUAGAGGAACCAACCCUAAGAAAACCUGACCAAAAGAUAGCUACGUUCCCGUCACUAAUGUUACUUCGGAGUAUGUGUGGCUGAUCCGCUGAGAAAAGACGGGAAGGCAAACAGAAAGUACCACUUUUCUUAUCUUAAGUUAAGAUGAAUCUAUUGAAGAGUCAAGGUUUCCAAUGAGCACGGAUGAGGCGAAGCAUCGAUCCCUAACAAGCGAGGUAAGCGCACGGAUACAAAGGAAUCAGAGUCUAUGUCUUGGUCACCCAAAAAAGUAUUCAGAGAUAGUUGAAUUUAGUGGAAGAUCUAGGGCGUUAGCCAGAAGCCUAUAGAGAGAGAGAGUCAAAAGCCUAUAGCACUGCAGGAAGACCAAGGUCUCGAUCGACAGAUCUAGUGGUCACUCACCGUCAAUAUUUGAUUCUACGGCCUAUGCUGAUAAAUUCAAAUAGCAAUAAAACAAUGUUCCUGGGGAAGCCCUAGCCUUGAAACAAGGGGCUUUACUAAACUAAUAUAGAAAUGGAAAUCUGAUAAAGAUGCCUAGUCUGCGCUGUUAGAAUCCAUUGGAGAAAGGCUUGCUCACUUCUUCAUCUGUGAGAUACUCGUAUUAUAAUAAUUUAGAAUAAUGGGAUUGGAUCUUGCUUCGAUCCCCUCUUUAAGAGACUCCAGAAACUCGUUGACCCAUAGAUGUAAUAGCCGAAAUGAAACUCUUUUCCUUUACGCCAUAGGAACUAGUAUAGAAUUCUAAAAGAGGUCUUUCCUUUACGUCGUAAAGAGAAGCAUGUGCCUUCCACCUAUCCUUCCACGUAUAGCUGGGCUUUAAUAAAGAACGCAUCGGGCAGCGAGCGGAAAAAGAAAUUCGAUUGAAUCUUGGUAAUUGAGUGAAGAAGCUCUCAGCGACGAAGAACAACCCGUAAAUCUAGGAAGUAUUGAAUCGGGAUCCGAUCUCUUUUGGUACACUCGAGUCAUAAGGUGUGUACAGACAGACAGGCUUCCUUUCGAAAGGCUAGGCACCAUUUGGUCCAAAGCUCCUCAUAUGAGGGUGACGACCUUAAUGAAUCAAGUAUUCAGGUGGCAGAGUUAUUAGCUACAUAAGCGCUCAAAUUCCUGAAUACUUAUUGCCCUGGCUUCUAUGAUCAACCCCUGGCACAUUUCGGUUUUGAUCUGAGGCUAUCCUGGUCUGCAGGACCCAACACAAGUAUUCAUCCUUUCCAAUCUGAAAAAGGUGUUGCCGAAAGCUUACCCUCUUCCACACGGAUGCUACAGCCGCUAUCACUUUUGCAGGAGGGGAAUUACAGAGUUCGCCUCUCGACAUCUUGUUUGGUAAACGGAAUUUUGACCCAGGCGCCCUAGUGUUGCCUAACCGUUCGGCCGGAGAUGUCGGAUGCGAGAUCUUUAGCUACUUGUAUCAAUUUGCCACAGUGUGCUUAGAUACAAUGCGCUGGCAGCUGAGGCUUGGCAGGAUGGGAGUGAAUUAAGGUCGAGGGAGCAGGAAAGAGUUUGUUAUUCGCUAUUGGCUUAGUACGGCCUAUACAUAAUAGGGCCAUGACGGUUUUGGCAAGGCCUUGAACUUCAUAUAUCCCUUUUUUACUCAAUCCAGAAUACCGAUAAAGUCAGAUUGAAUCAUUUUAUCGACCUUUCCUUUGGAUUUAUUAUCAUAGGUAGUGUUCGAGAUCGCCUCUGUGCGGUGAACGCUCGAAUGUAGCUAACAUCAGUUUUGUCCUCGCGUGGUUGAAGGAGAUGCUGCUGCUGGAUGGAAUGCUUCCGGGGCGCCAUGAUCCUUCUAUCAGGAAUAAUCGAGGGCACUGACUGACUGCAUCAAUCAUCGCUCAGUGAGCUAUUAAUUGUCGCCAAUAGCGCUUCGCUUGCAUGCAAGGCGGCUAAUAAAAGCGCCAGGUAGACGCGCGGAGAUGCAUUUUGAGUACAGGUGGUACUGGACAAGCUCUAGGGGAAUAAUCUCUUUCUUAUUUCUUUCCCAUGACGACUAGGAACGGGCAAAUCAAGAAUUUCACUUCGAAUUCCGGACCUCAACAUCCAGCUGCUCAUGGUGUUUCACGAUCAGUAUUGGAAAUGAACGGAGAAGUGGUGGAACGUGCGGAACCACAUAUUGGAUCACUCCAGUGCGGCACGAAGCCGCUGACGCUGAGUAGGCUCCUAUGCCGCUAGCACGGUGGAGUAGCGCGUCAUGAGCACCGGGCAAAGGGACGGUUGAGCAACUCAAGCGAACCACUCUACCUGACUUUGGAUAAAGAUAGAAGGGAGAAGGUUGUGAAGGUGGCCUCGUUAUCCACACAUCUGGUCGGAGGACCGACCUGGGCGAGCGUAGGCGGGUCCUGGAGUGCCCGUCAAGGGCGCUAGCGCAUACCCCGGGGUGAUCAUCACCACCUGCACCUCACAUCUCGGCACAGUGGAACGUGUAACCCGCCUGCUGUCCAAGUCAACCACUUAAUUUCCUGUAAUUCAUAGUGAUAGUCGCCUAGAGGGGGGGUGAAUAGGGCGAAACUGAAAUUUACAAAUAUAAACACAACUACAAGCCGGGUUAGCGUUAGAAAUAUAAACGAGUCCGGGAGAGAGGGCGCAAAACAAAUCCCAAGCGAAUAAGCGAGUGAGACACGGAGAUUUGUUUUACCGAGGUUCGGUUCUUGCAAACCUACUCCCCGUUGAGGAGGCCACAAAGGCCGGGUCUCUUUCAACCCUUCCCUCUCUCAAACGGUCCCUCGGACCGAGUGAGCUUCUCUUCUCAAAUCAAAGCCGGGAACAAAACUUCCCCGCAAGGGCCACCACACAAUUGGUGCCUCUUGCCUUGAUUACAAUGGAGUUUUGAUCACAAGAACAAGUGAGAAAGAAAAGAAGCAAUCCAAGCGCAAGAGCUCAAAUGAACACGGCAAAUCACUCUCACUAGUCACUAGGGUUUUGUGUGGGAUUGGAGAGGAUUUGAUCUCUUUGAAUGUGUCUAGAAUUGAAUGCCUAGCUCUUGUAAGUGGUUGAGAAGUGGGAAAACUUGGAUGCAAUGAAUGGUGGGGUGGUUGGGGUAUUUAUAGCCCCAACCACCAAACUUGACCGUUGGCUGGAGGCGUCUGCUCGAUGGCGCACCGGACAGUCCGGUGCACACCGGACAGUCCGGUGCCCCUGCCACGUCAUCACUGCCGUUGGAUUCUGACCGUUGGAGCUUCUGACUUCUGGGCCCUCCUGGGUGUCCGGUGCACACCGGACAUGUACUGUUUGAUGUCCGGUGCACCGGUAUGGGCAUGUCUGACGUCUGCGCGCGCUGUGCGCGCAUUAAAUGCACCGCAGGGAGCCGUAGGCGCCGAAAAGAGCCGUUGCUCCGCUGGUAUACCGGACAGUCCGGUGCACACCGGACAGUCCGGUGAAUUUUAGCGGAGCGGCUGCCACGCGAACCCGAGGCUGGCGAGUUCCGGAGACCGCGCUUCCUUGGAGCACCGGACAUGUCCGGUGCACACCGGACAGUCCGGUGAAUUAUAGCGCGCCGGCUUCCGAGAAGUCCCGAGAGUGAAGAGUUUAAGUCUGAGUCCCCUGGUGCACCGGACAGGUACUGUUCACUGUCCGGUGGCACACCGGACAGUCCGGUGCCCCAGACCAGGGUUGCCUUCGGUUGCCCUUUUGCUCCUUUGUUGAAUCCAAAACUUGGUCUUUUUAUUGGCUGAGUGUGAACCUUUUACACCUGUAUAAUCUAUACACUUGGGCAAACUAGUUAGUCCAAAGAUUUGUGUUGGGCAAUUCAACCACCAAAAUUAUUUAGGAACUAGGUGUAAGCCUAAUUCCCUUUCACAUAGCGCCUAACAGAACGUAGCAGCAAGGGACAACCCACCCAUACAGACAGCCUGCGGGGAGGAUGGCACUACUGGCAAAGACCGUCUGGCGAAAACACCGCAGGCGCGAAGCGUGGUGGGCCUGCGCCGGGGGAGCAUAGGGAGGAAAGGGAGCCCGGACGGUGGAAGAGCCAGGGGAAGCCGGGUCAUUUGACGGAAAUGGAAGGUCCGAGCAGCUCAUUCAUUCUUGGAAAAAGAAGGGGGAGCGGGCCAAUGUAUCAAUGAAUAGAUACAGUCAACGGUAGACAGACAGCGCUGCCUACACGCGAAUUAGCUUCUGAACAAGCAAGGGAUUGAGCAACUAGCGCUAGUUGCGGCGCAUCCUCUUGCUGGUCGAGCGGUCUCAAUUUCACUACAGGAUUUGCGAAUGAAUGCUGGGCCACCUCAAAUGGCGUGAGCCGCAUGCGGGGAGACCCGCACGUACGGUUUUCAGGGGGAUCCGGCCGGCCGGCGCCCACCCGACUAGAGGGACUGAGAAAUUAAUCGAGUACAAAACUUAUCUUCAAGCUUUACCUUAUUUUGAUCGUUCAGAGGGCGAUCGCGGAGUCACUGAAUGAAGUCCUCCCUCCCUUUCUUUCGGGGGUGCUGACCCGCUGCGAGGCAGAUAUGACUAAGUGACAUAUUGAAUAUGGCGACGACUACAACAUGUCGUAGAAGGAGAUAAGAGGUGGAGCCAACGACCCACUAAGACUCACGUAUCUACAACUACAUUCCCGAGCGGCAGUCAAACGGAGGCGUGAAUGCAAGAUGCCAGCGGAAUGAUCGACCGGACAGAGGCUAGGGCUGCUUUCUUCCCACCAUGUCCUUCCUUGUGUGUCGGAGAUAUAAAGCGAGUGCACCGGAAAAGAAGGGGAACAUAGUCGAUCUAUUCCAUGGCGAAGCAUCCGAAGCAUAACUGCACACUCACACGAUCUUUGCCGAGAGAUAGGAGCAUUCGGUGGAACCGGUGAACUACACUUGCUUCUUGAUAGAUGUGUGGGACAGAGGGCUCGUGGUACCUGCUGCCCACCCUUCGUCCGCUUUGAUAACCGUGUGAACGGAGAGUGGGCAGAGCAAAAGGGAAGGAGGUCCUCAUACGGAGUCGCACACUUGAGCAGUGCGGGAGACUGGAGAAUGGGUCGAGUAAACUCCCUUAGGGCCGAUUAAAUCACAGACGAGGUUCUUUAUUUUUUCUUUUAUAUUUGGAGAAAAAAGAAAGGCAGAGGUAAAUACUUCGAAGAGGUGGCUCGGUAGGGAUGGAAUGGUCAAUCGUCAAGUCAAGGAUGACUUCUUUGUUGGCAAAACGAUGGGGGAGAGAAAGCACGCCAGUGAUUCUCUGAGCCGGUCUUCAUUUCCAACGCCUCGGGAAACAGGUCGAGAUAGAUGACAGCACCUUUUUAUCCUCUUCCUUACCGGGAAGGCGCACUUCUCUUCUUCUUCUGGCCUUCACCUCCUGCCCGGCCCGGAAAUAGAACCCAGCCCCCUUUCUGAUCCAUUCAUUUCUGCAAGCAGGCGGGAUCCAGAGCUAAGCCCCCCUCCUAUUCGAAGCCGGGUGUGGCCUCGCUGUAGCAUCCCAAAAAUUCAAAUCCUGAAAUUUUCUCAAACUUGCUCUAAAUUCAAAAUGAAUCUCAAAUUUCAUUUCAAAAUGUUUGUUUGUGAGUUGAUAUCAACAAAUAAAGUAUAGUGGUCUAUAUUUCUCUCCAAAAUCCUCCUCAAAAUAUCCUACAAAUAUUUCCCCAGUGAUCACCCUGAAUUUCUUUUCAGAAAUACUGCCCAGAUAUUUCUCCAGUGAUCCCCCUCAAAUUCUUCCAGAAAUACCGCCCAGAUAUUUCCCUAGUGAUCCUCUUCAAGUUCUUUCCAGAAAUAUUGUCCAAAUAUUCCACCAAUAUAUCUCCAAGUAUUUUCCUCUUGAGAAAUACCUUCAGAAUCAUUUUUCAAGUCCCCACAAAUAUUUUCUUCAUAACUUUUCUCAUGCUCAUACGUAUACGUAUGCCUCCAGUGUCAUACGUGAGCUCUACAAGCUAAUCUCACUUAUACAAGACAAAUACAUGCUAAUCUCCCACUAAUCCUCUCAUCCUCCCACUAAUCCUCUCAUCCCUCCCCCUAAUCCCCCCACCAUGGCUAUAAAUAGAGGGGCAAGGGCCUCCUCUCAUCCCACCCCAAGCCAUUUCAUGGCAACUCUCUCCCCCCCACACACACCCACUCCAUGUUCCACACAAGCACACACUAGCACAAGGAUCGUUCGAUCGUUCUUCGAUCGUUCGUCCCCUGUUCUUAGUUUGUUCGUUCGUUCGUCCGAUCGUUCGAUCGUUCGUCCGAUCGUUCAUGGUUCGUUCGUCCGUUCGUCCGAUCGUUCGAUCGUUCGUCCGUUCGUUCGUCCAAAUAAUCUUUUUCCUACCGUUAUGCUGCCGAAAUUUCGAUCGUUCGUUCGUUCGAUCAUUCGAUCGUUCAUCGUUCGUUCAUAGUCCCUAUUCAUCGUUCAUCGUUCGUUCAUAGUCCCUAUUCAUCGUUCUUCCAGAUAAUCUUUGUCCUGCCGUUAUGCUGCCGAAAUUCCGAUUGUUCGUUCGUACAAUCAUUCGAUCGUUCGUCCGUUCGUUCGUCCAAAUAAUCUUUUCCUGCCGUUAUGCUGCCGAAAUUCCGAUCGUUCGUUCGUCCGAUCAUUCGAUCGUUCGUUCGUUCGUUCAUAGUUCCUAUUCAUCGUUCAUCGUUCGUUCAUACGAACUAUUCACUAUCACUAUUCACCAUUACUAUUCAUCGUUACUAUUCACAUACACUAUUCAUCAUCGUUACUAUUUAUCAUUACUAUUCAUCAUCGUUACUAUUCAUCGAUGAUAUCUAUAAUUACUUUUCCAUCGCCACUAUUCAUCGUUACUAAUCAUCGUUACUAUUCAUCGGUCAUCUAGUCAUCCCAAAUUUCAACUACUCAUCCAUCAUGCUGUCCAGUUCACCUAAGACCAGCCAGACCCAUAUUCCAGUCAUACGAACUCCGGUGACUGUGAUUUUCCUUCUAGUGGGAACUUCCCAUCUGGUCACCCAUCCCAGGUUUCUCCAAGUUGAGCACGCUUAACUUUGAGAUUCCUUCGAACCAGGCUCCCAAACUCAGAUUCCAAUAAUUCUCGUUUCUAAAUUCUUAUCAAACUAUUCCCUAUCCAACCAUGUCAUCCCUUAAGCAUGGCCCAUAUUCCAGAAAACUCCCAAAAUACUCUUGUCCCAUAUUCUGCCUAUAACUCUCCUGUUCAUACUAAGUCAGACGAUUCAUUCGUCACUAUUCUCACCAAUAGUGAACUUCACUGUGCUACACCACAUACACCCAGCUAUAAAUACACCUAGCUACCCUCUCCCUCUCCACACACACUCAACACCCUCAGCCAAGGCAAAGACCCCACCCACUCAGUUACUCCGCUCUGCCGGAUACACGCAUAGUGUCGCUUCGCCUCCAGUCCACCCUCCUGGUAAGCACCUCCGCUCCACCACCAGUAAUAUCACAACACCACAUGACACAGAUUCUACUCAAGACUCUACCCAUCCAUAUAUCGCUAUUCUGACCACUAUACUAAAUAUUUAUUGGUAUACUUGCUGGUUUGUAUGUUUGCUUGUUCAUGUUGCAUAGUUAUCGGAGCGUUCGUGUCGUCUCGUGGAGGCCAGAUCCGCAAGUCUACGCUAGGCGGUGGAGCCAGAAGCCAGUUCCGCGAGCUCCCCUUCGCCGAAUAAGCACGGCAAGCUCACUGGAUCCCUUUGAUGCAUAAAUUACCUAUGUUUUUCAACCACAACCCUCAGCCUGUUAUUUUAUGCAUGAUAUGAUUUUGAGACAAGUUAUUAUGGCCACCCAGCUGCUUGCCGCAAUCAAUCCCUGAUAUAUAUGUUCCAAAUGAUUUGAGAACAGGUGUGAGUUUUCAAAAGAAAAUGCUUUUCAAAAUGUGUGUGAUGAAGGGUUUUCACCCUUAUCACCUUGUGAGUGGGAUAAUCAGGGACUCCCUGGUUUAGGGGAGGGCCUAAGGUGUUGGCUCAGCUGGUUUAGGCGUGAGCAGAAGGAUUGUCCCCUCAUAUAAGGACCGGUUUGUCAUCUUCACUACCUGUACUCUUUAAUAGUACAACCACUCGAGACUGUGUGGGCAGUCACUCAAUCUGAACUCGUACGGUCCAACCCCAGGGUUAUGAAGGCUGGGGAGCAUCGGGAGGAUAAGGAGGGGGAAAGUUUUGUCCGGUUUGGACAUGGUGGUGGCCUGACUCCUUCCGGAUAACCGUUAAGGUUAGGACGUGCGGGGAAAGAAAGAGAUUCGGAUUCGGGUCUCACUAGCUAUGAGAUCGCAGAGCCGGACUAGUGGGUAAAGUGUACACCUCUGCGCAGAGUUUGAAAACCUAUUCGAAUAGUUUGUGUCCACAGAAAUGGACGAGUCUGUUAUGGUAUGGCAAUUAAUGUUUUGUUUUCCAAAUAAAGAGAUGCUUUUGAAAAGUGGUUUUUAAAGGUCUGGCUGUUGAACCAUGAGCUAUGGUGGACGGGAAGUCCAGUAGCUGUUUUUGAAAAAGGAAAAACCAGUGGGAACUGCUGAGAUACCUGGAUGGUUUAGUCCAGGGGAUUUUGUUAUAAUACUGAAAAACUUCCUGCUCCUUUUGGAGAGGAUGCGCUUUGCAAAAAUACAAAACGUUUUUCAAAACAACUCUGCAUAAAAUAUUGUUGUUUCUGCAAAAUAUCCUGAGCUCCACAUAUUCCAUGCAUUAUAUCUGAUUUCCCCAUUCCGCGGGUGAAGUGGGCUGCUGAGUACGUUUGUACUCACCCUUGCUUAUUUGUUGUUUUUCAGAAAAGGAGAUCGGGUAAGAGUUAUGACUGUUCCCAACCUUGCCUGUGGCUGUUGGACCGCUGAUUUGCUUCGCUGCGUAUAUCGGGCUACUUCAGCCCCACUCUGAUGAUAUGUCCCGAGUUGUGGACCAACUCUUAAAGUUGUUCGCCACCUUUAUAGGUUUGUCUCGUUUAAGCAGAUCUGGAAUCAUCUGAUGUAUAAAUGUGUUUACUAGCCUCCUGGGACUAGUAAUUGUAUCACAUUUGAGUCCCAGAGGAUUGGGGACGCUUCAGGUGGUAUCAGAACUGUUAGGUUGGCCGCAGGACGUAACCCUUAGCCUGAUCAAAAGUUUUUGAGUCCAAACUAUUUUCUAAAAAAAAAUCUUGCUCUCAUCCCUCCAUUUCGAAAAUGCUUUCCCCUUUCCUUCUCUCAGAAGUCAGAUGGAGGUCCGUUGCCAAACCAGCUUUUGCCAGAAUGAAGAUGGUUUCCCCAAGUUGCUGAGAGCAUGCACAGUCCGCCUCGGAAUCAGGAGCCAGCCAGAGUAUGAUGGUCGUGAAUUCGUCGAGCAUGGCACAGAGAAGUGUGUCGUGACUAUAUACAUUGGAUCCAGUCCACACCAUGUGGAAUGGAGUGUCACUGCUGCUGGGCACAGAUUCAAAGACACCUGCCAAGUUGUCGCUCGCAAGGCAUUGAGGACCCUGUGUCAACUUUAUGAAGAAGAAGUGGCCGACACACCGCUCAGAUUCUUUCCGCCCUUUCAGAGAGACCGUCCCGCUUGGAUGGCCAGGAUGUGUGCAUUGGAAGAGCAGUAGCUGCUUGAGGACGACCCCACAGUCGUGUACCUCACUGCCUACCUGCUCACCCUUGAUGCACAGUAUGAUUUCUUGGCUCGGCACCACCGUUAGAUGAUUGCCCGAGCAGAAGAUGCAGAGAAGUGCAACUGUCAGCUGCAUGUGGAUCUCACCACAGCUCAAGCCAGUGUAGCUGCCUUGGAAAGUCGUGAAGUCAUUGCUGUGGAAGCCCUGAAGCAAGCCAAGGAUCAACACGUCCAGAAGUUGAUGGAGGCCUACUUGGUCACCCAUAACCAACGUAGAGCCCUGCGGAUCCAAGAGCCCGCUCCAUCCAACACUGUUCAACCCAUCAAAGCUGAAGACCCCCAGAUUCUUGAAGGUCACCCGGUCUCUAUCAGAGGAGAGAAGAAGGCUUGGGAACUCCCGGAAGGAGCCAUAGUCUUGGAAGGAAUUCCGGUCUUCCCUCAGGCUAUGGAUAAGCAAGAGCACCCUGAAUCCUCCCAAGAUCCCCCGCCAGAGUUGUUUGAGCCCCUCACCAUAAAGAAGAUUCCAGCACCAUCCCUUGAGGUCAAGGAAGAAGCUGCAAGCACCCCGCCAGCACCACCGCCCUCUGAGGAGCUACAAGAGCCAGUCCCGCUUGAAGAAGAGCUCGACCCCGUGCUGCCAUCUCAGUCGCUGCCAGAAGAAGUCAUCAACAUCAGCUCCCUCUUAACCCAUCCAGGAGAUAUCUCAGAUUGAAGUUGUGUGUCAGCCUUGCGAGAAGAGAAGCUGCCAGAUCUGAGUUAGUUAUACCCAGUCCUCUGCGUGCAUUGGGUAGUGAAGUUUUUCUUCACUUUGGCCAGAGCCCUGCAUGUAUGAGAGGUAAUCGUGUAGACUCGUGUUUUGAAAAAACUCUAAUUGUGUUGCCCCCUAGGGCAUUUCAAAAUGAAUUUCGCUUGAUGUUUUCCUCCCUUUUGAGUGCAUAUGUGAUGCUUUAACGUUAGUGCUCAUAAGUUGCAUUUAGCAUAGUUCUCAAUUCAGGAGCCAAGCAAUAGUAGUUAUGCUUAGCCCCCGAAUCUGAGUAGUUCGUGCUUUGGAAAAACUCUAUUCUUCCCCUAUUCAAAAUAUUUGAUUUUGUUUGUGCUUAUCAUUGCUGAACUUAUGUGUUUUCUUUCUUUUUAAGAAAGGUUUUCUCUAAAAACAUAGAUCACAAAUUAGAUCUAAUCCUCACCUUAUGCUUCCAUUCUCAUCUCAACCCAUCUCAAGAGAAAAGUGCUUUACCCAAGAAGAUACCGAGAAGCUUACCCUUGAAGCAUGGAAUAAGCUACAGAGGAACCUAUCCAGUCGCUCAGUCAAAAGGACCGACCGUGAGAAUCAAAGCACUGCCCCUGAGUCAAAGUAAACAGGAAAAGAGGACAGAAGGAGUUAUUACCAUACAGAGAGGCAAAGAUUCUUGGAACCAGAGACCACAAACAUCAGGGUCAUUGACCCCACCACUCACCCGUGCCCCCCGCACGCGUGCCUCGCCUCCAUGCGCACUACCACCGCCCCACCCCCCUUUGCAGCGCACCCGCCGCCGCCAUCAUCGCCGGCACCAGGCCCCCCCCCUUCCCCUCCGUCGCACCUGUUGCCACGUAGCACCUACUCCAUCACCACUACUACGCAAUCGAACACCAACGCUCGCCUAUAAACCCCCCACCAGCUCCCUCAACUCCCAUCUCGCUCAAAGCAAAGCACACUCCAGAUAAACCCCCUGCCAAAUAGCAAGCAACUCCAUUUCCACUCCCUCGCCCCUAAGAUCACAAUGCUCGGUGAUUCUUGGGUUGAAGACUGUUGCACAUGGUUCAUAGUCUUUGGUUUCCUCCAGUGUAUGAUAGUAAUACUCUUUGAUAGAAUCCUCCAGUGGGAAGAGCAAAGAGAAAGGAAGGGUCAGUGAAAAGAAGAUAGUGAAGAGAAGAUGAGAAGAAGGUUGUCCCAGAAUCAACCCUGUGUCAGUCAUUUCUUCGCAGCCUGCUCAAGCAGCAACAACAGAAGAAGGCCCUGUAACACCCUUGUUAUGAGGUACUUCAAGGAGUUCAAAUCCCCAAGAUUCAAGAGUUCUACCCUCAUUCUUUUUAAGUGGGUUAGUAUUCCAGUAAAGUUCCUGCUAUGGAGAAAAAGAAGAAGGCCUGUAGCAAGCUUGUGGAGGACCAGAUCAUCGAAGCAUAUAAGUUCCUGGAUGAGAAGUGGUCACCCAAGUUUUGUUGAUGAAGCACCAGAAGACUAGUCAAGGAAGGAAUCCAUGUGGGAGUUUGCAAGAGAAAGGUUUGUGUGUUGGCAUCGAUGCUUCUUCAAUAAGCUAGUUGCCAAGCGAAAGCCAGAAGCCUGAAGAUGAUCUUGAGUAGCCUGAAUCAGCGUUUGCAAUCGGCAACCAGAUGCUCCUCAAGGCCAGAUCUUGUUGAAGUUCCAUCUCCUCAAAGAGUUGCAAAGUGAAGAUAUGUAGCUAAAGUAAAGCUAUACCCAUAACCCUUCUAAGCCAAAUCUCGAGGACGAGAUUCCUUUUAAGUGGGGUAGAUUUGUAGCAUCCCAAAAAUUCAAAUCCUGAAAUUUUCUCAAACUUGCUCUAAAUUCAAAAUGAAUCUCAAAUUUCAUUUCAAAAUGUUUGUUUGUGAGUUGAUAUCAACAAAUAAAGUAUAGUGGUCUAUAUUUCUCUCCAAAAUCCUCCUCAAAAUAUCCUACAAAUAUUUCCCCAGUGAUCACCCUGAAUUUCUUUUCAGAAAUACUGCCCAGAUAUUUCUCCAGUGAUCCCCCUCAAAUUCUUCCAGAAAUACCGCCCAGAUAUUUCCCUAGUGAUCCUCUUCAAGUUCUUUCCAGAAAUAUUGUCCAAAUAUUCCACCAAUAUAUCUCCAAGUAUUUUCCUCUUGAGAAAUACCUUCAGAAUCAUUUUUCAAGUCCCCACAAAUAUUUUCUUCAUAACUUUUCUCAUGCUCAUACGUAUACGUAUGCCUCCAGUGUCAUACGUGAGCUCUACAAGCUAAUCUCACUUAUACAAGACAAAUACAUGCUAAUCUCCCACUAAUCCUCUCAUCCUCCCACUAAUCCUCUCAUCCCUCCCCCUAAUCCCCCCACCAUGGCUAUAAAUAGAGGGGCAAGGGCCUCCUCUCAUCCCACCCCAAGCCAUUUCAUGGCAACUCUCUCCCCCCCCCCCACACACACACCCACUCCAUGUUCCACACAAGCACACACUAGCACAAGGAUCGUUCGAUCGUUCUUCGAUCGUUCGUCCCCUGUUCUUAGUUUGUUCGUUCGUUCGUCCGAUCGUUCGAUCGUUCGUCCGAUCGUUCAUGGUUCGUUCGUCCGUUCGUCCGAUCGUUCGAUCGUUCGUCCGUUCGUUCGUCCAAAUAAUCUUUUUCCUACCGUUAUGCUGCCGAAAUUUCGAUCGUUCGUUCGUUCGAUCAUUCGAUCGUUCAUCGUUCGUUCAUAGUCCCUAUUCAUCGUUCAUCGUUCGUUCAUAGUCCCUAUUCAUCGUUCUUCCAGAUAAUCUUUGUCCUGCCGUUAUGCUGCCGAAAUUCCGAUUGUUCGUUCGUACAAUCAUUCGAUCGUUCGUCCGUUCGUUCGUCCAAAUAAUCUUUUCCUGCCGUUAUGCUGCCGAAAUUCCGAUCGUUCGUUCGUCCGAUCAUUCGAUCGUUCGUUCGUUCGUUCAUAGUUCCUAUUCAUCGUUCAUCGUUCGUUCAUACGAACUAUUCACUAUCACUAUUCACCAUUACUAUUCACCAUUACUAUUCACCGUUACUAUUCACAUACACUAUUCAUCAUCGUUACUAUUUAUCAUUACUAUUCAUCAUCGUUACUAUUCAUCGAUGAUAUCUAUAAUUACUUUUCCAUCGCCACUAUUCAUCGUUACUAAUCAUCGUUACUAUUCAUCGGUCAUCUAGUCAUCCCAAAUUUCAACUACUCAUCCAUCAUGCUGUCCAGUUCACCUAAGACCAGCCAGACCCAUAUUCCAGUCAUACGAACUCCGGUGACUGUGAUUUUCCUUCUAGUGGGAACUUCCCAUCUGGUCACCCAUCCCAGGUUUCUCCAAGUUGAGCACGCUUAACUUUGAGAUUCCUUCGAACCAGGCUCCCAAACUCAGAUUCCAAUAAUUCUCGUUUCUAAAUUCUUAUCAAACUAUUCCCUAUCCAACCAUGUCAUCCCUUAAGCAUGGCCCAUAUUCCAGAAAACUCCCAAAAUACUCUUGUCCCAUAUUCUGCCUAUAACUCUCCUGUUCAUACUAAGUCAGACGAUUCAUUCGUCACUAUUCUCACCAAUAGUGAACUUCACUGUGCUACACCACAUACACCCAGCUAUAAAUACACCUAGCUACCCUCUCCCUCUCCACACACACUCAACACCCUCAGCCAAGGCAAAGACCCCACCCACUCAGUUACUCCGCUCUGCCGGAUACACGCAUAGUGUCGAUUCGCCUCCAGUCCACCCUCCUGGUAAGCACCUCCGCUCCACCACCAGUAAUAUCACAACACCACAUGACACAGAUUCUACUCAAGACUCUACCCAUCCAUAUAUCGCUAUUCUGACCACUAUACUAAAUAUUUAUUGGUAUACUUGCUGGUUUGUAUGUUUGCUUGUUCAUGUUGCAUAGUUAUCGGAGCGUUCGUGCCGUCUCGUGGAGGCCAGAUCCGCAAGUCUACGCUAGGCGGUGGAGCCAGAAGCCAGUUCCGCGAGCUCCCCUUCGCCGAAUAAGCACGGCAAGCUCACUGGAUCCCUUUGAUGCAUAAAUUACCUAUGUUUUUCAACCACAACCCUCAGCCUGUUAUUUUAUGCAUGAUAUGAUUUUGAGACAAGUUAUUAUGGCCACCCAGCUGCUUGCCGCAAUCAAUCCCUGAUAUAUAUGUUCCAAAUGAUUUGAGAACAGGUGUGAGUUUUCAAAAGAAAAUGCUUUUCAAAAUGUGUGUGAUGAAGGGUUUUCACCCUUAUCACCUUGUGAGUGGGAUAAUCAGGGACUCCCUGGUUUAGGGGAGGGCCUAAGGUGUUGGCUCAGCUGGUUUAGGCGUGAGCAGAAGGAUUGUCCCCUCAUAUAAGGACCGGUUUGUCAUCUUCACUACCUGUACUCUUUAAUAGUACAACCACUCGAGACUGUGUGGGCAGUCACUCAAUCUGAACUCGUACGGUCCAACCCCAGGGUUAUGAAGGCUGGGGAGCAUCGGGAGGAUAAGGAGGGGGAAAGUUUUGUCCGGUUUGGACAUGGUGGUGGCCUGACUCCUUCCGGAUAACCGUUAAGGUUAGGACGUGCGGGGAAAGAAAGAGAUUCGGAUUCGGGUCUCACUAGCUAUGAGAUCGCAGAGCCGGACUAGUGGGUAAAGUGUACACCUCUGCGCAGAGUUUGAAAACCUAUUCGAAUAGUUUGUGUCCACAGGAAUGGACGAGUCUGGUAUGGUAUGGCAAUUAAUGUUUUGUUUUCCAAAUAAAGAGAUGCUUUUGAAAAGUGGUUUUUAAAGGUCUGGCUGUUGAACCAUGAGCUAUGGUGGACGGGAAGUCCAGUAGCUGUUUUUGAAAAAGGAAAAACCAGUGGGAACUGCUGAGAUACCUGGAUGGUUUAGUCCAGGGGAUUUUGUUAUAAUACUGAAAAACUUCCUGCUCCUUUUGGAGAGGAUGCGCUUUGCAAAAAUACAAAACGUUUUUCAAAACAACUCUGCAUAAAAUAUUGCUGUUUCUGCAAAAUAUCCUGAGCUCCACAUAUUCCAUGCAUUAUAUCUGAUUUCCCCAUUCCGCGGGUGAAGGUGGGCUGCUGAGUACGUUUGUACUCACCCUUGCUUAUUUGUUGUUUUUCAGAAAAGGAGAUCGGGUAAGAGUUACGACUGUUCCCAACCUUGCCUGUGGCUGUUGGACCGCUGAUUUGCUUCGCUGCGUAUAUCGGGCUGCUUCAGCCCCACUCUGAUGAUAUGUCCCGAGUUGUGGACCAACUCUUAAAGUUGUUCGCCACCUUUAUAGGUUUGUCUCGUUUAAGCAGAUCUGGAAUCAUCUGAUGUAUAAAUGUGUUUACUAGCCUCCUGGGACUAGUAAUUGUAUCACAUUUGAGUCCCAGAGGAUUGGGGACGCUUCACUCGCCCUUUUGCUCUUCCUUCGGUUUGGCUCCACGAAGGCGCCGCCUAGACUAGGAGCCCCACUCAUAUUCAAAAGGCGCCCAGCUUUCAAGACGAUGAUAAUAAGUAGUUAGGCUGCCAUUAUUCCAAUAUCAUGGAAUAGCAUGGCCCGGGGCUAAGGUAACUCCAGUGGGAGAGCCGUGUUAUGGGUGACCUUAUUGCACGGUUCAGAGAGCACUUGUGUAUGUGAUGCAAGUGAACGUGUACGAAAAAGCUGUCGUAAAGUUUCGUUGUUCGUUCCGUCGUUGACCCUAUCUAUGUUUCUACGAUGGCCCAAGAACACGCUCAUUCUUCAGCCGUAGAGAGACUUUUGAAUUGUGAGGUACCAUUACGAGCUCAAUAUAUACGAAUGUUAUUCUGUGAAAUAACUCGAAUUUCAAAUCAUUCACUUGCUUCAACUACUCAUGCUAUGGAUGUGGGAGCAUCAACUCCGUUCCUUUGGGCUUUUGAGGAGCGGGAGAAAUUGUUGGAAUUCUAUGAAAGAGUCCCGGGAGCCAGGAUGCAUGCCAGUUUCAUACGACCUGGUGGAGUGGCACAAGAUCUGCCUCUUGGCUUAUGUCGAGAUAUUGAUUCCUCCACACAACAAUUUGCUUCUCGUAUCGACGAAUUAGAAGAGAUGUCAACCGACAACCGUAUCUGGAAACAACGAUUAGUGGAUAUUGGUACUGUCACUGCACAGCAAGCAAAGGAUUGGGGAUUCAGUGGUGUAAUGUUAAGAGGUCGUGCGACAUGAAGACAUUGAUAGCAAUAUGGGGGAAGUUCCCAUCAGGCAACAACGGUUCUGCCCGACCCUACAAAAGCAUGCAUAUGUUGUCAGUGAAGAUUUUGUGUGAAGCCUUGGAGACGACGUACCCGGGGCUAGGGUGAGCUGAGGGGGGACAGCGUAAGUGAGCGAAUGUGUGUAAGCCCAGUCAAAGAUUCCUAUUCUAGGCGGGCCAUCAACCUUCGAAUGGUGUUGGUCCUACGGACCGUGAACGGAUUCGCCUCUGGCCUCUGGGCACGUCGGAACCGCAUGAGUUCACCGGGGUGGAGCACGGUCCGCCAAAAUCGGCAUAGGUUAGGUGCUAUUGAUGGAACAUGGUAAGCCCAUCUUUCUCCAUAUGAAAGUGAUGCAGGCACAUAGAGAUGUGGGUAGAGGAAGUCUCAAAAAGCGAAGGCCGAGCUAUAGGUCACGUGACCUGCACCGAAAAGGUGGCUGACUGGGCUUUCUCCUGGAUCAAAGCAGAUCAGCUCGCCAAAUUCGUUGACCGAAUCGGGCGCCCCGGAACGUCGAAUGAAAAUACGUGGUCUUUCUACAACCCUAUUUAUAUGAUAGGCCCGGCCCCUUUCCCCCUAUCCCUCCCUUAUGUUUAGGAGCGGGAUUUGCCCAAGAACGACCUGUGGUGGUACGGACUCCGCAAGCGUCCCGCACCCUCUGAGAAAGAAACUCCUCAACCAUCACAAGAUAAAGAAGUAUGACGCUCUGUGUCUGACUCUAUUGGUCAUAGUUCCUUGCUGUUGCGGCCGGUGCUCGUUUGCGCGUGUGUGAACCACCAGAUCAUAAGGAAAGAUGCCUCUCGGGGCAUCUGAGAAUGAUUCGAGCCGUAUGAAGGGAAACUCCCACGUACAGUUUGUUUUGGGGGGGAAGGAGCCCGACAGGGUCCCCCCACUGACUUGGCCCGGGCCUAAGUGAAAGUGAAAAAGUGAAGUGGUGGGCCUACCCAUCCCAACCUGGGGUAUGCUGGGAUUCGCGAAGAGCAGCACCUUACGAUGUUCAUGACCAAUCGGAUCUUGACGUACCAGUAGGUACCAGAGGAGAUCGCUAUGAUCGUUACUGUAUUCGUAUCGAAGAGAUGCGACAAAGUGUUCGGAUCAUUGUGCAAUGUCCUAAUCAAAUGCCUAGUGGCAUGAUCAAAGCCGAUGAUCGUAAGCUAUGUCCUCCAUCACGAUCUCGAAUGAAACUAUCCAUGGAAUCGUGCGCCGUGUGAAACGUAGAUCAUCGCCGUUCUUAACCGAGACUCAGGUUAAGCUCCGUCUCGGAACCGUCGUGGGGUUAGGAGUAAAGCAUCCCGAGGUUGGCGCAUCUCCUUGGGCGUGGAGAAGCAUUGGGAACCCCAAUAUCUUUCUUCGGAGCAGUUUCUUUUCCCGUCCCCUCGCCCCGGCAUAGCGCUUCGCUUCCGGUUCUUCGGAAGAAUCAACUGACUUCUCCCUUCUUCAUUGAUCUGGGGGAAAGGGAACCGUCUACCAGUUGGGAAGCUAGACAUCAAGGUUGUGGCUUGAUGAGGAUAACUAAGCUGACACGCCGGAGUUGGCUGCUGGCACAACAGGGUGGUGCCUUACCGCACCGCAGGCGCACGCGCGGUAGCGUUCGUGGUGGUGCUUCAGGAUUCCAAUGUACUGCGUCCAAGAUCAGAACGAGCUUGCCGGCGGACCACUGCCGUCCCAUUCUUUAGUGAGCUGGAGCGCUGCCAUCUUAUCCACGGAAAACGCGUCAAGCUAUCGCUUCGGGUCGAAGCACUAAAAAAAGAAAAGGACCGGGAAACGCGGCGGCAUAGGAACCACGGGAACCCAGGAGGGAGAAAGACGAUGUACGGGAUAUGGGAUCCUCGUAGUAGGCUGGACCAAAAUCCAGCCGAGAGAGGGCAGCCUUUAGAAGCAACAGGUUGGGAAACCAAGAGAAGGUCUUAUCUUCUUGCCGGCACAAAAAGAGGGAUUAGCAUUAUUGACCCCAUGAGAAAGCACUAACACCUUCGGCUCCGCGCACUGGGAAAAGGCUUCCGCGACAGGAAACCGGCUACUAGUUAGGAAGUGAACAUAAGGUAUCAAGAGGUCCCUCACAGUCAGGUGCGAUGCAAUUGCCCCCUAUUAGUCAAGUACCCCUCUUCCUAUUUUGUUUAGGGGUUAAAAUGAUGAACCCUUCCGUUCACACGCACCGGCCCCAUUCACUUGCAACUCGUAGAGGCUGUAAGUAAACAGUGCCCCACUAAAUUAAAAGUGAUGGUGGGGUUGAAAGACGAGAGUGCCUACCCCCGAGCCGAGAGUGCCCGCCCUUUCUGUCAAGUAGGCUACUUUUUCCGGAACGCAGUCCGGAAUAAGCGUUCCUGUGUAUAUAGAUAUCUUCGAUGCUGUCAUUUCGAAAUGUCCGCUUCCUCUUUCACCUCCCAAAAAGCAAAGUUGGCUUGACGAGCGCAGAUGAGGAAGCGGGAGCAAUAAAACCAAGAAUCUCUUUCUUUUCCAAAUACUUACUUUAUUAAGAUUAAGAUUAAGAUUAAGAUUAAGAUUAAGAUUAAGAUUAAGUUAAGGGGCAAAGAGAAGCGCUUUCGCUACUGAGAAAGCGAAUGGUCAGCGCGAGGGUUCGACGACUUAGCCGAGCGUUAGCGAAGCGUCAUUCUCAUAGCGAGGCGCUUCGAGUUAGCGAAGCGCUGUAGUAGCGUCGGAGACUAUGUGCUAUAAUGCUGAACUAAGGACGUUCCGCCUUAUCUAUAGAAAGAAGCAGUCAACUGAGUUCUGAAUGAAUGGGAUCCUUAGUGGGUAAUGGCUCAAUCAAUCUAUAGAUGGAAAGCCUUAUGAUGGGAAACUACCACGUUAGGUUUGGAGAGAGAUGGGACCUGUUAUAGUUUAGGGGGAGCAGAUGCAAGCUUUUUCUUUCCAUAGCCGGCCAAAUGACUACCGGAUCAUCGGUCUACUCUACCUCAAUUCACCAUUUCGAACUUUAUACAGAAGGUUUUUCCGUACCAGCUCCUUCUACCUAUACCGCAGUUGAAGCACCUAAAGGUGAAUUUGGUGUCUUUCUUGUCAGUAAUGGGAGUAAUCGUCCCUACCGUUGUAAAAUAAGAGCACCUGGCUUUGCCCAUUCACAAGGACUCGAUUCUAUGUCCAAACAUCACAUGCCAGCAGAUGUAGUCACCAUCAUAGGUACUCAAGAUAUUGUGUUUGGAGAGGUAGAUAGAUAGGACGUAGUCUUGCUCGAUCAGGACCCUUGCUUUAUUGCGAGCCAAAACAGCUGCGCUAUUCAGUUCUACAUCUUUUUUUAAAGAAAUGUGAAAAUGUAGUUACAGAUGUGAAAAAAGUA
rnacentral:lncRNA from 1 species